CUGCCAAGGGCACCGCUGGGUAGCUAUGUGCGGAAGGGAUAAGCGCUGAAAGCAUCUAAGCGUGAAGCCCCCCUCAAGAUGAGAUUUCCCAUCGCAUUAGCGAGUAAGAUCCCUCGAAGAUGACGAGGUUGAUAGGUCCGAGGUGGAAGCGUGGCGACACGUGCAGCUGACGGAUACUAAUCGAUCGAGGACUUAACCAU
rnacentral:rRNA from 1 species